AUGUAUAAUUUCUCAUUCAGAUGUACCAUGCCCGUCCAGUUGUUCAUAUUGAAUCGGUAUAUAUACAACUUGUCUGCGUUACUGCCGGUAGCCGUAUGUAUUCCUCCAAGUUCCAUAUGCAUUCUGCCUGCAUGUUGCCAUGUAGUGAGCCACACCAACCGCAUCAAUUCACCCGUAUGCCGUGCGAAAGGUGGUGCGCUGGGUUGGGUGCUUGCAUCGUUGCGUCUGCUUGUCGCCAGGAUUCGGUGUGCUCCUAGUCAGCUCAGUUUGGCAGUAUGCAACUAUGCAUUAUUAUGUCUUGGCAUGCCAUCCGUCCAUGUCCAGUUGCCUCCCUCGCACGGUAACAAAGGCCACCGUCUGUCCUGGCGAUCUACCGUUGCUCAGAUCGGCCCGACAGCGUCAGCACCUUUCGAGCUGGCGUGGUGUCCAUCAGGGCUCAUAGAGGUGAGCGCCGAGUUUUCACCAUCGCCAGUCUGUCUGGUGUUUCUAAAAAAAAAGUACAGACCGGUAAACUUGCUGUUUUGA
rnacentral:rRNA from 1 species